rnacentral:misc_RNA from 1 species
GUUGGUUCUUUAUUCGUCUGCUCCGGUUGCACGCCUGCCGUCCUCUUCCUGCUGCCCGCGUCCGCGAAAGUUUUGUUUGCAAAGUUUUGUUGUAAUUUAUUAAUUAGUAGCCAUAUCGCAGAAGAGUGCAGCUUCGACGCACUACGCACUGUACUUUCUGGACGGCAUCAUAAAAUACCAGGAAGUACCAGCUGUCAUUUGUGUUAGCUCGGUGCAAACACCAUGUCCCGGAAAAGCGCAGCAUCUGGAGGCUACAAGCGCAAGCUCAGCGGCAAGCCCGAGCCGAGCGAUGAACAGAAAAAUGACAUCAACGCCGCAUUCAAUUUAUUUGACCCCAGUGGCAGUGGUCUCAUGGAAGCGAAAGACUUGAAGUUCGCAAUGCGUGCACUGGGCUUCGAGCCUAGAAAAGAAGAGGUCAAGAAGCUGCUCGCAGAGAUAGACAAGCAAGAGACUGGCAAAAUAGCUCGAGAAGACUUCAUGAAUGUAAUGGCCACAAGAUUGGCAGAGAAGGACAUCAACGAAGAAAUUAUGAAAGCUUUCCAGUUGUUUGAUGAAGACAACACAGGCAAGAUUUCCUUUAAGAACCUCAAGAGUGUUGCAAAACAGCUCUCCGAGAAUCUAUCAGAUGAAGAACUGAAGGAGAUGAUAAACGAGGCUGACAGAGAUGGAGAUGGUGAAGUUAACCAGGAGGAGUUUCUUCGAAUCAUGAAGAAAACUUGCUUAUAUUGAACAUAAUCUGUGUUUCUUAUGCUACGGUUGACCAUCGAUGGCACAAAAUAUUUGUAAAAUUGAAGCAUCUGCCAACUCAAAGCCCAGCUGAGUGACUGCCGAAAAAUGACCUUUUCCAAAACCUAUGCUCCAUCUCAGGAGUACCUUGCAGCACUGUGAAAGCUGCAGGGCUCAUUAGCCAAUAGGAAAGGCGAAAGCCCCUCAAAAUGUGUUCAUCCGCACCGCGCCAUCUUCUCGGCGUCCCUUUUGCAUCUGCUCGCCUGCUUUGUUGGUACUUGCUCCUCGCAGUUAAUAUAGCUUGUUUAUUAUGCCUGAAAAUGUAAGUAAACCAUAAGGCUAAUACCCCCCCCCCCACCCCCCACACACACAAAGCAAGAUAAAGUGUGGCUAUAGUAAUGUGAAGUAUAUUACAGCAGUCGUGAACCAUGCAUUGUUACAUGCUACAACUAAAGUCAACACGCAUCAAUUAUUGUGCUGACGAAACUUGCGUUAUACUGAAGCCAGACACCUCAAUUUUCGCUUGCCCGGUACAGUUUGUGGGUGCCACAAUCUGUGACAUACUGCGUGUACUGACUUUAAAAACAAUAAAUGAAUAAACAAAAUGUU